UACGUAGGGGGCAAGCGUUGUCCGGAUUUAUUGGGCGUAAAGAGCGUGUAGGCGGCCAGGUAGGUCAGCUGUGAAAACUCGAGGCUCAACCUCGAGAUGUCGGCUGAAACCAUCUGGCUAGAGUCCGGAAGGGGAGAAUGGAAUUCCCGGUGUAGCGGUGAAAUGCGCAGAUAUCGGGAAGAACACCCGUGGCGAAGGCGGUUCUCUGGGACGGUACUGACGCUGAGACGCGAAAGCGUGGGGAGCGAACAGG
rnacentral:rRNA from 1 species